rnacentral:rRNA from 1 species
UCAAGCGAACAAGUGCAUGUGGUGGAUGCCUUGGCGAUCACAGGCGAUGAAGGACGCGGUAGCCUGCGAAAAGCCCCGGGGAGCUGGCAAACAAGCUUUGAUCCGGGGAUGUCCGAAUGGGGAAACCCACUCCUUAUGGAGUAUCCAUAGCUGAAUACAUAGGCUAUGUGAAGCGAACGCGGUGAACUGAAACAUCUAAGUAACCGCAGGAAAAGAAAUCAACCGAGAUUCCCAAAGUAGUGGCGAGCGAAAUGGGAUGAGCCUUGUACUCUUUAUUUGUAUUGUUAGCCGAACGCUCUGGAAAGUGCGGCCAUAGCAGGUGAUAGCCCUGUAGGCGAAAACAGUAUGAAAGAACUAGGUGUACGACAAGUAGGGCGGGACACGUGAAAUCCUGUCUGAAGAUGGGGGGACCAUCCUCCAAGGCUAAAUACUCGUGAUCGACCGAUAGUGAACCAGUACCGUGAGGGAAAGGCGAAAAGAACCCCGGGAGGGGAGUGAAAUAGAUCCUGAAACCGCAUGCAUACAAACAGUCGGAGCCUCGUAAGGGGUGACGGCGUACCUUUUGUAUAAUGGGUCAGCGACUUACGUUCAGUAGCAAGCUUAACCGUAUAGGGCAGGCGUAGCGAAAGCGAGUCCGAAUAGGGCGUUCAGUUGCUGGGCGUAGACCCGAAACCAGGUGAUCUAUCCAUGGCCAGGAUGAAGGUGCGGUAACACGUACUGGAGGUCCGAACCCACUAACGUUGAAAAGUUAGGGGAUGAGCUGUGGAUAGGGGUGAAAGGCUAAACAAACCUGGAAAUAGCUGGUUCUCUCCGAAAACUAUUUAGGUAGUGCCUCGUGUCUCACCUUCGGGGGUAGAGCACUGUCAUGGUUGGGGGGUCUAUUGCAGAUUACCCCGCCAUAGCAAACUCCGAAUACCGAAGAGUGCAAUCACGGGAGACAGACAUCGGGUGCUAACGUCCGGUGUCAAGAGGGAAACAACCCAGACCGCCAGCUAAGGUCCCCAAAUAUGGCUAAGUGGGAAACGAAGUGGGAAGGCUAAAACAGUCAGGAGGUUGGCUUAGAAGCAGCCACCCUUUAAAGAAAGCGUAAUAGCUCACUGAUCGAGUCGUCCUGCGCGGAAGAUGUAACGGGGCUAAGCCAUAUACCGAAGCUGCGGAUGCGUGCUUGCACGCAUGGUAGGAGAGCGUUCCGUAAGCCUGCGAAGGUGCCUUGUAAAGGGUGCUGGAGGUAUCGGAAGUGCGAAUGCUGACAUGAGUAGCGAUAAAGGGGGUGAAAGGCCCCCUCGCUGUAAGCCCAAGGUUUCCUACGCAACGUUCAUCGGCGUAGGGUGAGUCGGCCCCUAAGGCGAGGCAGAAAUGCGUAGCUGAUGGGAAGCAGGUCAAUAUUCCUGCACCGUCGUUAGAUGCGAUGGGGGGACGGAUCGCGGAAGGUUGUCCGGGUGUUGGACGUCCCGGUCGCUGCAUUGGAGAAGGCGCUUAGGCAAAUCCGGGCGCAGGAUUCAAGGGUGUGGCGCGAGCGACUUCGGUCGCGAAGCAAUUGGAAGUGGUUCCAAGAAAAGCCUCUAAGCUUCAGUCUAACGAUGACCGUACCGCAAACCGACACAGGUGGGCGAGAUGAGUAUUCUAAGGCGCUUGAGAGAACUCGGGAGAAGGAACUCGGCAAAUUGGUACCGUAACUUCGGGAUAAGGUACGCCCUUGUAGCUUGACUGGCCUGCGCCAGGAGGGUGAAGGGGUUGCAAUAAACUGGUGGCUGCGACUGUUUAAUAAAAACACAGCACUCUGCAAACACGAAAGUGGACGUAUAGGGUGUGACGCCUGCCCGGUGCCGGAAGAUUAAAUGAUGGGGUGCAAGCUCUUGAUUGAAGUCCCGGUAAACGGCGGCCGUAACUAUAACGGUCCUAAGGUAGCGAAAUUCCUUGUCGGGUAAGUUCCGACCUGCACGAAUGGCGUAACGAUGGCCACACUGUCUCCUCCCGAGACUCAGCGAAGUUGAAGUGUUUGUGAUGAUGCAAUCUACCCGCGGCUAGACGGAAAGACCCCAUGAACCUUUACUGUAGCUUUGCAUUGGACUUUGAACCGAUCUGUGUAGGAUAGGUGGGAGGCUAUGAAACCGGAACGCUAGUUUCGGUGGAGCCGUCCUUGAAAUACCACCCUGGUUUGUUUGAGGUUCUAACCUUGGUCCGUGAUCCGGAUCGGGGACAGUGCAUGGUAGGCAGUUUGACUGGGGCGGUCUCCUCCCAAAGGGUAACGGAGGAGUACGAAGGUACGCUAGGUACGGUCGGAAAUCGUGCUGAUAGUGCAAUGGCAUAAGCGUGCUUAACUGCGAGACCGACAAGUCGAGCAGGUGCGAAAGCAGGUCAUAGUGAUCCGGUGGUUCUGUAUGGAAGGGCCAUCGCUCAACGGAUAAAAGGUACUCUGGGGAUAACAGGCUGAUACCGCCCAAGAGUUCAUAUCGACGGCGGUGUUUGGCACCUCGAUGUCGGCUCAUCUCAUCCUGGGGCUGUAGCCGGUCCCAAGGGUAUGGCUGUUCGCCAUUUAAAGAGGUACGUGAGCUGGGUUUAAAACGUCGUGAGACAGUUUGGUCCCUAUCUGCCGUGGGCGUUGGAUAUUUGAAGGGGGCUGCUCCUAGUACGAGAGGACCGGAGUGGACGAACCUCUGGUGUACCGGUUGUGACGCCAGUCGCAUCGCCGGGUAGCUAUGUUCGGAAGAGAUAACCGCUGAAAGCAUCUAAGCGGGAAACUCGCCUUAAGAUGAGAUAUCCCUGGAGGCUUGACCUCCUUGAAGGGUCGUUCGAGACCAGGACGUUGAUAGGUCGGGUGUGUAAGCGCAGUAAUGCGUUCAGCUAACCGAUACUAAUUGCCCGUAAGGCUUGAUC